UUGACUGGAGAAGUUGUAGAGGUCAACACACUACUGGCAGACAACCCCGGUUUGGUCAACAAAUCCUGCUACAAAGAUGGUUGGCUGAUGAAGAUGACGAUUGCAAAACCCGCUGAGCUCGACGCUCUAAUGGACGAGGCAGCAUACGAGAGAUACAUCCACUCCAUCGAGGACUAACCUUUGGUUGUUUAACGAUUAUUAUGCUCCUGCUUUAUUUCCAUCAUUACUGGCAGGGAGGAGCAUUUGUGUGCCUCUCAGUUCCAUCACAAUGCUUAGCAUCCAGCAGCAAAGGUUUACAGCUSUGUACUGCUGAUCUGCCGGGGCUGUAGAAAUGUGAACUUUAGAAAGUCUUUACCUACUGAAAACGACUGACUUUAGGGGACCUCUCAGUCUGCACUGACUAAAAAAACCAGACUUCUUACAGCUACACAAUCUUUAAGCCGACAAAAAGAAAUCAAGUMAUUAAAAAAAGCUUCCAAGCAUUUCAGUCAAACCUGAAAUUCAGCCUUUAUAUACGUAGACUUAAAAUGCACUUUGGUCUUUAUGGUAUUAAUUUGGUUUGKGGACACUGUGGAUAUGGGACCUGUGUAAUAGAAAAAUAAACAUUUCCUUACAUGUUCA